UUCACGUUCGCGUGGUUCUUACUCACUCGUAAGAUACGCAAAGAACUCAAAGUUCCUAGGUUCCUCUAACAUACUGGGCCUGUAGAACCACGGUGCAGUGCACAUUUUUGCAGGAAGUCUAAGAUGAAGCAGACACCGUGUCCGAAGAGCUGAGCCAGUGGAGAGCCGCCGUCGUCGAGUAUGAGCGACAGUUUCACGACUGGAAGGAAAUUUGGGAAAGCUGUGACGGACAAGGCAUACUCUGAACGAGCGCUGUUAUCUCUGGACGAGUUUCCACACUGUCGUGAGUCUGAGUGUGUGCACUCUCCACUCAGCCACAAAUCCAGCACGUCCUCCCUCUCU